rnacentral:rRNA from 1 species
UACGUAGGGUGCAAGCGUUGUCCGUGAAUUAUUGGGCGUAAAGAGCUCGUAGGCGGUCUGUCGCGUCUGCUGUGAAAACCUAGGGCUUAACUCUGGGCGUGCAGUGGGUACGGGCAGGCUAGAGUGCGGUAGGGGAGACUGGAAUUCCUGGUGUAGCGGUGAAAUGCGCAGAUAUCAGGAGGAACACCGGUGGCGAAGGCGGGUCUCUGGGCCGUAACUGACGCUGAGGAGCGAAAGCAUGGGGAGCGAACAGG